GACACGUGACCUCCGUUCUCCAGGCCGCUCCGGAGGUGACGUCAGACACGGCGGCCGGAUGAUCCUCGGUGAGACAUGGCGAGAAGAAAAGGCCGUCCGCGCCUUCGCGAGAACUCGCCGCGAUAUUCCCGGGAAAUUCGCGCCAUUGGAAGCCAGCACGUAGGGCCGAAGCGCGAAGACGAAGACGGUUAGAACAGACGGACGUCGCGGUCGCUAGAUCGAGAAAAACGACGCGAUGUAACGGAUGCAUCGUUUUCGAAAAAGUGUCUGAGACGUUGGGUGCCUGUCUGGAAUUCGCGCGCACGCGCUCAUCCUCUGGCUUCGGAUACAAUCGUUGAAGAACGGACGACCUUCUCCGAGGCCUCGCGCAGUCUUCCUACAUGGAACAAAAAAGGUAUCCUUUGGGUCAUGGAACCUUCGAUGGAUAUAGGCUAUAGGUUUCUUCGUAUGCCUUCACCCGGCUGGUCUUCAUUGUUCGCUGCGCGACGGCACGACGGGAACUCGUUCUGGAAACGAAACUGGUAUCACGUCGGCAUGUGAGCUCACAUAUGUAUAGGGUGAUAAAAACAUCGCCGUCGUAAGAUUCGGGAACUGUUGCUACGUGUCGGAACGGUGCGUAAAAUGAAGCGCAAGCACGCGUAAAAAGGCGCGGCUUCUAAGUUACGGCGGUUUUAACGUGGUCGACAAGUUAAGAGGAAAAGUAUCGAAUGUUGCAUCGACAAUCACACGCUUAAGCGUGGACCCCCGUCCGAAUUUAUGAUGUAUAUUUCUUAUAUCACUGUGCACACGCGGUAGACGAGAAAAUGAAACGCGGGUGUAUACGUCGUCAUUUAUUAUUUAUAUAAAUACGCGAUAAGGAGUUACGUAAACGUGGAAGAAUAAGCUCGUAGUGGAUUACAUGAGUCAUUGAAGGUACAAGCUCAAGGAAGUAUAAGCGGAUAUAUAAAGUGUUAAGUAAAAUUUAUAUAUAUACACACACACACAUAUAUUUUUACGAAAUACAAGGUAUGUAUUUCGAUUUUUAUGUUUCCCUCCUCGAAAACUGUUCUUUUGCAAAUCUGGAUAAUUUAAUGUCACAGAUGUAAGUAUGCUACUUACUACUUUUUUAUUGUUUUAUAUUACUUAAUAUUUUUUUACUGUUCCGAAUUUUAACGGUAAAUUUACAGGUGGAAAUUAGCGUUUUAUCCGGCUUAAAUUCAGGAACAUCGAAACUCACGACGCGCAAAUCACCCUCACCUUUCUCCCCAAAGAAUGCCCCCGCUAUAUUCGCGCCAGCACGUUUUACGACCGCGCUCUAGUCUAUUUGCAUUUCUACCGCCUUCUAAGGACGUUCAGUGCUCCGUGAGAAAAGCAGUGCUACACCGAGAGGAAUGCGAGGAAUUCACUUAAUAACAACUUCGCCUCUGUGUAUAUAUGCGGUAAAGCAAAACGGAGAAAUCUGUGCUCGUUUUUCGAUAUUAUAUAUCUCCGCGUUUGCAUCUUUUACUCGGUGCACGCGUUUUCGUUUACGCUCGCUGUCUACGCACGAAGCGGGAUAAAUACCGGAACGCACGCAUAUUGCAUCUUAUAAUACGUAGAUAUCUAGGAAAGAGAUGUCCACGCUUUUAUAUAAAUCUUUCGCAAUGUCGUAAAGUCUGCACAACGCUUUCAAGGUGUUUGACGAGUUUUCGAGCGUCGAAAUAUUCGUGCCUGAAAUACAUAUGUAUUCUUGCGUAAGAAGCGCGCUAUCGUCUUUUUCGAUGUUGAAGCAAAUGGAUACAAAGACAAGCGUUAUAUCGUUAUCUCUUCGCGUGUUACGUCCAGAACAUUGAUUAUGCGAAUGUAAUUAUUAUGGUCGGGCGUUUGGCUCGAUACCCGAUAAACGUGUGCCGUAUUUGAAAUCGAUGACGAUCGGCCUUCGCGCGAUGUGCACUAAAUUUCUGUUUACGCACAUUGCUACGUAUGUCACGUAUCGAUGACUCAAUCGCCUGUAUUGGAAAUCUUAACGGGCGUACGUGUCCCGAGAUGUGUCUUUGGCGGAACGUUAUUUCUGUUCUGAAGAUGAAGUAUGUACAUCCUUUGCGAUUUGUCCGCGAGUUCAUAUAAGGAUAAUGUUCCAAUUAGUGAUCGAGCAACCCCAUCGUGAAAAUAAAUUAAUAAUAUACGUUUCAAAUUAACGACACAUACAAAGUUCAUUUUGUUGGGAAGUUUUAAUAUGUGGGAUUUUUUAAUUGUAUUCUAUUUUUCUAAGUUAUGGAAAGAUUUCAACAUUUUUAUGUUUUCUCAGAAAUGACCGAGAUAGACAUUUAGUGAGACGGCAGUUUAGUUUUGAUGAACUUGAGUAACUACAUAAAAACCUAACAGACAUUAAAUCAUAUCAAUUUUCUAAAGUGUCGGCGAGGAAUUGUCAUCGUCAGUAAACAGUAAUACGCUCGUAGCUUACGACGAUUUACCAUCUACGCUAUGCGGCUUUUAAUUUUAUUCGAAAUUUGUUACAACCGAUGACGUAUAAAAUGUAAGAAAAGAGUACACACACACGUUUAUAGGAUGGACAUCGACUCGCAUUACUUGUAUUAUUACUUGUAUAGGUGCAAUUAUCACGAAAAUCGGGAUACUCUCUAAUUCGGGCACAUUCGCCUUAUUUAUAAUAGAAAAUCAAUUGAUCGAAAUGUGCGAGAUUCGCUUUAGGUUUCUCGAAACGCGAUCUACGAUAACAGAGGGACCACACACACGCGCACUCAGCUGCCAAGUGCAUUACGCUAUUGCGUGAGACAAUGCACCGUGCAGUGGUGCGAUGCGCGCCAAGGUCGCGGUCACAUACGUACGUAAGUGGCGAGUAUUCUCCGAGAGUACCUCUCGGAGAGGCACUCGUACGAGCAGCACCAACACGCAUACACCGUGCGUGUAUUCGCGCGACUCGCGAGUAUAGUCGCGCGCGAAGAAGCGUUAAGGGCAAAGGCCUUGUUGCGGCGUGCUCUUUUUGCGGGAUUGGCGGUGAAUCGAAAUCACGGUGCGAACGAGACGAUAUCCUUGACAGUGCGAUGCGCCGCGCGUGUUUUAUAAUAUUUUUAUUUGCGAGCCAAGAGAGACUCGGGAGUCAACGUCAUCAUCACGUAUCGAAACGUGACUCGGGACGUGUCGCAAACGUAAGCCUGUGAGACAUGUUUGCCGUGCACGCGAUCGUCCUCCGUGUUAAUUAUAAUGUAUUUUUGCACUCACCUGACGGUGAAGUACCAAGUGUUUAGGUGCGAGGCGUGUAUUCUCCCAAUAUUUUUCGAGUUCUGCUUACGAGACUUGCUUCUCUUUCAUUGCACUGUGAUCACGCAAAUUCUAUAUUUUUUAAUUCCAGUGUGAAAUUCCUGACAGAAUGCGUGCUUCUGAGGCAUGUUGAUAUUCGUUUUUGGAGAGCUAUUUUGGAGAAAUUUUGUACUAUGCAUGUCACGUUAUUUUCUGAGAAUUCUCUCUC